UUUAAUAAUCUACAUUGCAUUCAGGGCUCUCGCUGAGUGCUCUUCAGCCAGGAUGUUUGGUUACAGGAUCUACUGACAGUACUGUGAAAAUAUGGGACAUACAAAAACAACAGGCCAGCCUGGUGGAGCAGAGAAACUUUAAGCUGGGUGCUAUCUACACUAUUAAGUCUUCACCAGAUGCAGCUUUUGUGAUCGCAAUAGGAGGUGAUAAUAGAUCAAACAGUUUUAAAGUCUGGGACAUAAGAGAUAGUGACAAAGCCCGAGUGCAUUUUUUACCAUCAUCACAAGGAAUUAGUUCAACAUCAGAAGAGGGUGCUACAAGUAGUGCUAAAGCUACAGACAAUAUGGCCAUGGACACUGAUUCAACAUCCUUUCUUAUGAAAAGUUUAACAUCAAAAUCAUCCUACAAAAAGCCCAUCAAGAAAAAAAAAAAGAAGAUUUAAAAGAACUUGUGAUAAUUGUUGUUAUAAAGUUUUAUGUUUGGGAAAUAGGUUAAAUUGUAUAUAUUUUAAUAAAGUAUC